rnacentral:sRNA from 1 species
AUCACAGUUGACCGAUUCGAGAAUGAAUAAAGCAAAUAUGGAAGAUAAGUGCACUUGAUCAAAGGAGAGAGGAAUUGAAGAAAAUGAUAAUGCCUCUACUUUCCAGCGGACACAUGCCACAUUUCCCACGGUCAAAGGGAAAAGCGGACGGAGCCCAAGGCCACGCGAGUACAGUGAACACUGGUUGGUGAGGGACGAGGUGGGUGACGGCGAAGGCAUAAAAAACCCGCAGCUGUCAUUGGCAAUAAAAAUAAUAACACCCAUCCAGUGCUCGAAAGUAACAAAAGCAACAGCAAUCAAACAUUUUCGCUGCUUCGGUUUCUUUUCCUUUUUUUUUAUCAAUCACAAUAUAAACACUCAACAAUGGAAGGGGCGAAAACGAGUGUACUACACACACCCCACAGGAAGCGUUUUUCGCGUUUCACUUCGAUAUUAUUGAAGAACAAAAAUACAUAAAAAGGCAUUUUUAAUUUCCACGCAAGCCUCGCUGCCAUAAUUGAAGUAAAAGCCAACGCCAUUUGAUUAUUUGUAUAUAAAUAAAAGAAUGUCGAUUUUUACGAUUUGUUUGACAUGGAAUCAAGCAGCACAAAAAGCCAGAUCGAGGCAGAGAAAAAUGAAAAGUUCACAAAUAUAUGGCAGUCUCAUAAAUAGGAGACCAGAAAUCAAUUGA